rnacentral:tRNA from 1 species
GCCGAUGUAGCUCAGCUGGUAGAGCAAUCCCUUCGUAAGGGAUAGGUCGUCGGUUCAAGCCCGACCAUCGGCUCCA